GAUGAACGCUGGCGGCGUGCUUAACACAUGCAAGUCGAACGGUGAAGGCGGAGCUUGCUCUGCUGGAUCAGUGGCGAACGGGUGAGUAACACGUGAGCAAUCUGCCCCUGACUCUGGGAUAAGCGCUGGAAACGGCGUCUAAUACUGGAUACGAGCUGCGAAGGCAUCUUCAGCAGCUGGAAAGAACUUCGGUCAGGGAUGAGCUCGCGGCCUAUCAGCUUGUUGGUGAGGUAACGGCUCACCAAGGCGUCGACGGGUAGCCGGCCUGAGAGGGUGACCGGCCACACUGGGACUGAGACACGGCCCAGACUCCUACGGGAGGCAGCAGUGGGGAAUAUUGCACAAUGGGCGAAAGCCUGAUGCAGCAACGCCGCGUGAGGGACGACGGCCUUCGGGUUGUAAACCUCUUUUAGCAGAGAAGAAGCGAAAGUGACGGUACCUGCAGAAAAAGCGCCGGCUAACUACGUG
rnacentral:rRNA from 1 species